AAUAAGUGCAGCCGUGGAAAUUUGUGUCCAACGUUUGAUCAUCCGUCUUAUUUGAAAAAUUUAUGACUUUUUUUUAAAAAUAGUCACACAUAAAGUACUAUUCAUAUUUUAUCAUCUAAUAACAAUAAAAAUAGUAAUCAUAAAAUUUUUUCACAAAAGACAAACGGUCAAAUGUUGAAGAUGAAUAGUGUAAAACUGCACUUAUU
rnacentral:pre_miRNA from 1 species